AAUCAGUUGGCUUAUAAUUGAAGUCUAGUAUGAAUGGGAGCUCGGGGAUAUCUGUCCUUUAUUUACGAUUAGAAAUUACUAAUUAAGUGAAAAUUCUUAAACCUUUAGAAAAAAGACGAGAAGACCCUAGAAAUUUUUUAUUAUAUAUUUUGUUGGGGCGACAAGGUAACAUAAAACUUACCUAUACAAUAGGAAAUUUUUUAGUUGGGUAAAUAAAUUACUCUAGGGAUAACAGCAUAAUAUUUUAAAGUUUGUGACCUCGAUGUUGGACUAGGAAAUACCCUACUUAAAAGGUAGUUUAUAUAGUU
rnacentral:rRNA from 1 species